rnacentral:pre_miRNA from 7 species
CUUUGGAGACGAGGGUAGUAGCAAAUACCGGACAAGCACCCACAGAUGAAAGACCCCUAAGAGGGGAGACCCUCACUCAAGUCUCGGGAUGCCUCGACCCCCCAAGAACUCACGAGAAACU